rnacentral:rRNA from 1 species
GACGAACGCUGGCGGCGUGCUUAACACAUGCAAGUCGAACGGGCCCGCCCCUGUUUUUGGGGGUGGGUUGAGUGGCGAACGGGUGAGUAUCACGUGAGUAACCUGCCCCCUGCUCCUGGAUAACUGCUUGAAAGGGCGGCUAAUACGGGGUGUGCCGGCUGGUCCGCAUGGGCCUGGUCGGGAUAGUUUGAUCUUCGGGUGUUUCGGUGGGGGAUGGGCUCGCGGCCUAUCAGCUUGUUGGUGGGGUGAUGGCCCACCAAGGCGGUGACGGGUAGCCGGCCUGGGAGGGUGGGCGGCCACACUGGGACUGAGACACGGCCCAGACUCCUGCGGGAGGCAGCGGUGGGGGGUAUUGCACAAUGGGCGGAAGCCUGAUGCAGCGACGGCGCGUGAGGGAUGGAGGCCUUCGGGUUGUGAACCUCUUUCUCCGGUGGUGAAGGCCCUGUCCGUUGUGGCGGGGUUGACGGUAGCCGGGUAUGAAGCGCCGGCUAACUACGUG